UCNUAGUUAAGCUUAACGGAGAAGAGGAAGAAGCCCCAAGCCAGGCGAGGAGUUUCCGUCGCUAGACAACCUUGCCAAGGACAGCUGAAAUAUGAAAUUUGUGUGAAUAAAGGCAAAGGUCGAAGACUAUGUUUCUUUGAUUCUAGGCCGAAAAAGGUUUGAAUAAAUUAUGCUUGGAGAUGUACUCAAUUUGCAUUGUUGUAUCCAAGCAUUUGAUGGAUGCAGACAUUUGUAUCUUUUUUAUGUACUUUGAUGUAUUUGGAGUCUGACAUGGAAACAGUUUCGUGAUUGUGUAUAAUAAUAUGUAUGAUUUGGUGAACAAUCAGGCUAUAUGUAUAGGGUGAGCU
rnacentral:lncRNA from 1 species